CUCAGCCAGAGUGGAAGAGUGGCUAGUCCAUGAGCUUGCUGUCCUUGUGUUCAUUUUCAUAGAACUUGGAGCUGAGUUAGGAUUCCUGAGCAAGACCCACGGCCUAAGGUUGCCCCAGCAGGGCCCUAACUGGAAUCUGAUGUUGGUUCCUGGCAGAAUUCCUGACAUUUGGAACUUUCCAGAUCCUAUUUCCACAUUUUCUCCUCUCCCCUCCCAAGCCUUGGCCACUGCCCUUGUAUUCCCUAACCCUUGUCCCAACCUGGUCACUUCCUGGAGCCACAGUACUGGAGUCGUCUUCAGCAGGCAGCCAGGAGACUGGGAAUGGGCAGGAGGGUAGGGGAAAUUUGUCUGAAGAAGAAGGGAGUCAGUUCCUCAGCUUCA
rnacentral:lncRNA from 1 species